rnacentral:rRNA from 1 species
GACGAACGCUGGCGGCGUGCUUAACACAUGCAAGUCGAACGGAAAGGCCCUGCUUGCAGGGUGCUCGAGUGGCGAACGGGCGAGUAACACGUGGGUGAUCUGCCCCUUACUUUGGGAUAAGCCUGGGAAACUGGGUCUAAUACUGGAUAGGACCAUGCUGUAGGUGGUGUGGUGGAAAGAUUAGUUUCGGUAAGGGAUGAGCUCGCGGCCUAUCAGCUUGUUGGUGGGGUAAUGGCCUACCAAGGCGUCGACGGGUAGCCGGCCUGAGAGGGUGGACGGCCACAUUGGGACUGAGAUACGGCCCAGACUCCUACGGGAGGCAGCAGUGGGGAAUAUUGCACAAUGGGCGCAAGCCUGAUGCAGCGACGCCGCGUGGGGGAUGACGGCCUUCGGGUUGUAAACUCCCUUCAGCCAUGACGAAGCCCUUGUGGUGACGGUAGUGGUAGAAGAAGCACCGGCUAACUACGUG